rnacentral:rRNA from 1 species
CCUACGGGAGGCAGCAGUGAGGAAUAUUGGUCAAUGGGCGCGAGCCUGAACCAGCCAAGUAGCGUGAAGGAUGACUGCCCUACGGGUUGUAAACUUCUUUUAUAAAGGAAUAAAGUGAGGCACGUGUGCCUUUUUGUAUGUACUUUAUGAAUAAGGAUCGGCUAACUCCGUGCCAGCAGCCGCGGUAAUACGGAGGAUCCGAGCGUUAUCCGGAUUUAUUGGGUUUAAAGGGAGCGUAGAUGGGUUGUUAAGUCAGUUGUGAAAGUUUGCGGCUCAACCGUAAAAUCGAAAUUGAUACUGGGAGUAUUGAGUACAGGUGAGGUAGGCGGAAUUCGUGGUGUAGCGGUGAAAUGCGUAGAUAUCACGAAGAACUCCGAUUGCGAAGGCAGCUUACUAAACUGCCACUGACAUUGAUGCUCGAAAGUGUGGGUAGCAAACAGGAUUAGAUACCCGAGUAGUC